UACGAAGGGUGCGGGCGUUAUUCGGAAUCACUGGGCGUAAAGGGUGCGUAGACGGUAUGUUAAGUUUGUUGUUAAAGGCUCCGGCCUAACUGGAGUAUUGCGAUGAAAACUGGCAAACUAGAGGGUGAGAGAGAGAAGUGGAAUUCCCGGAGUAGCGGUAAAAUGCGUGGAUCUCGGGAGGAACACCAAUGGCGAAGGCAGCUUCUUGGCUCAUACCUGACGUUGAGGCACGAAAGCGUGGGGAGCAAACAGG
rnacentral:rRNA from 1 species